GGCCAAGCUUAAACUUCCACGCUCUAGCGCGGUCUGGGAGCGGCAUUCAUUUUCCGCUUGACGCUGACUUUAGAAGGUUACUGGUUAUGGAUGAUAUGAUGGAUGUAGAGAGCAGGGAGAUUAUCAAAUUUGAAGUCUCGUUCUGCUCACAUGGAAUGGACAAUUGGGUGUGCUCAAUGCUUAGAGUUCAAUGUUGUCAACAAUGAUGCGGUCUUGAUUGCUCAACUGUUAAUGCGCUGGGGCUGGAUGCGUUGAUUCUGCGCAAUGUUCCUCUCCUUGGUGUGGAUUGCAACCACUAACCACAGUUGCGAGUAAAAGAAUGCUACUCACCAAUAGGACAUCACCGUGCUUAACACGAGGAUCUCUGAAGCUGAACGCUUGCACCUGCUCAAAUUUCAAUGUUUUGUUGCAGCUUCCCUCGUCUUCGACUUGAAGGUUCGAAGCCAGGUGUUUGUUCUGCCGGAGGAGUAAUGCGACUAUUCGAACUGUCUAACAAAAGGAGGGAUGGAAGCAAUAGCAGUUUCCUUUGCCGUUAAAUCUACGAAUGAAACACUCAUCGUCUCGGCAGAACAUACUUUUUCGCAAGCAGUUAUUCGCCACGAGAUGCAUUGUCCAGUGGCCAUUACUAUCAGUACCUUUUAAGAGACUGAACUGAUGUCCAGAUCACGCUGCCGCCACUGUUGUGUUCUGUUUUCAGGGUGGUCACUGAGCGUAGCGGCUUGAUGUUAACUCGGCUCGCUUGAAGGCGUAAUUUUAAAACCUCACGUGGUCCAGUCGUUUCGACAACUGGCAACCCCAAGAAUGUACUCGACGUCGCAGCACCGCAAUCAACAGGGACGUGGAAAUGUGCCAUCGUCCUAUCAAGCAUUUGGACAGAUAACUGUGGCAGGACUUUGGUUGACUGAUAAUGACGUUUGCUUCACCUUCCCUGCUGCUCGUUUUCACGUUUUUUUUACUCUGCUGUAAUGAGAUCCAGAGGAGAGGCUAUAUCUAGUCGAGAACAAGAAACUUCUGGUGGAAUAUCGUCACAGGUCACUGUAUUCAUGAGCCCAGUUAUGCUCUUCUGACACUGCCAUCAGAAGUAAUCGCGACGACAGCAUCGUGCGCAGGUUGCCCCCUAAGUUCCGCUCUCUCGAGAUAUCUAAGUGAUGAGAACGGGCGGUUGUGGGCGAUUCUCCGGCGCAGCUGGGGACUGCGCGAGUCCUAACAUCUGUCUGCGGCUUCAGAGACUUAUGACGAACUGGCAUGCUGCAGAGAAAGCGCAAUGCUACGCGCAGGAAGGGGAUUGAUGCGCUGAACUGGAAACCCAUGAUGGAGGCAAAUGCAUGAAACGUUCGUGCUGCAAGCAAUUUUGGAGGUAGAGGCUGGUCAAUCUUCACGGAUUUCCGCGCUCUGCUGCUUUUGGAGUGACUGGUGCCCGAAGAUUUAUCCAACCAUCCGAAGGACUGCAUUGCUGUAAUUUACGUGUUCAAAAAUUAAUGCAAAAUGAGAGAUGCAUACUUAUCCUUAUUAAAGUCUUGUUGAAUUUC